CCUACGGGUGGCAGCAGUGUGGAAUAUUGCACAAUGGGGGAAACCCUGAUGCAGCGACGCAGCGUGAGUAAAGAAGUAUUUCGGUAUGUAAAGCUCUAUCAGCAGGGAAGAGAAUGCCGGUACCUGAGUAAGAAGCCACGGCUAACUAUGUGCCAGCAGCCGCGGUAAUACGUGGGGGGCAAGCGUUAUCCGGAUUAACUGGGUGUAAAGGGAGCGUAGACGGCGAAGAAAGUCUGAAGUGAAAGCCCGCGGCUCAACCGCGGAACUGCUUUGGAAACUUUUUUGCUGGAGUACCGGAGAGGUAAGCGGAAUUCCUAGUGUAGCGGUGAAAUGCGUAGAUAUUAGGAGGAACACCAGUGGCGAAGGCGGCUUACUGAACGGUAACUGACGUUGAGGCUCGAAAGCGUGGGGAGCAAACAGGAUUAGAUACCCGGGUAGUC
rnacentral:rRNA from 1 species